rnacentral:lncRNA from 1 species
UGGUCCUGCUAGCUAAUUUACCUCCCUUAGAGAUGACACUGUGCUAACAGCAUUGUUGGUACACAACAGCUUUUCAUGAACAUGACACAUUCUUGAAAACUAUAUCAUGCCCCGGGGCCCUCUGCUUCAAAUAAACAUAAAAAAUCAUGCUUAGUGUGACAGAAAACAGUAUGGGAAGAAGAGAAAAGGCAUGCUACUCAUGAUUUAUUUCAUAACAAAAUUGAUAAGGUGAUGGAAAUGGCUAAGACAGACUGAACGACGAGUUCGCUUCAAACAGACAGCAAAAAACUGUAGGUUCUGCAAAUCAUGUUUACAAAAAAUGUACUCCUGAGCAUCCAAUUUUUAAAAUGUCUCUGCAAAUAUUCCCUCAAGGAACCAGUAUCUUGUGAGCCCACACUUCUACUCACCAGACUAUUUAGCUGCUAAACCAGAAAAAAUGUUUUGACUAGUACCUCGUUCUGUUCUAUUAAACUUAAAGCAUCUGCCAAAUCUGCAGACCUGCAUUUGUGGUACAUCAGUACUCCCUCUGUAAAUAUAAGAUAUUUUAGAUCACUACUAGUGAUCUAAAAGAUCUUUCCAGAUCACUACUAAAAGAUCUUUUUAGAUCACUACUAGUGAUCAUUUCUUAAAUGCAAAGUUCCUAGUCACUGCCCUAUUAAGCUGCUAAUCAAAAUUUACAACAUUUGACAACCAAGUAGUUUUCAUCAGUAAUGCACUGUGGAAGAAUAAUUACUUCCUUGCGACUACCGGACUCUAUCCAAAUUAUCUGAACAGGGACCAAAUUUCUACAAAUGUACUAUAUCCCAAUUAUCACCUAAGAUUUUUACAUCUCUAUUAAUGUUAGUAUGUUGCGAACUAACCUCUUAGCCCACAAUGGACCUUGAGGGUUGACCUUACCUAUACACAGCGCGACACCUGCGGCGAGUUGCCCCUUCUGUGCGUGCAAAACAGAAAAAGAUCACGAUAUACUUACGAAUCGACAUACUUCCUGAUUGAUUAGUUGCAUUAGGAACUUCAUCGUUGGCGGCCGCCUCUGCUUCCUAUCCCUCUUUCUCACUCCUCUGCUUCCAAAUGCCGUCCAU